rnacentral:rRNA from 1 species
CCUACGGGUGGCAGCAGUGAGGAAUAUUGGUCAAUGGACGAGAGUCUGAACCAGCCAAGUAGCGUGAAGGAUGACUGCCCUAUGGGUUGUAAACUUCUUUUAUAAAGGAAUAAAACGAGGCACGUGGGCCUUGUUGCAUGGACGUUAUGAAUAAGGAUCGGCUAACUCCGUGCCAGCAGCCGCGGUAAUACGGAGGAGCCGAGCGUUAUCCGGAUUUAUUGGGUUUAAAGGGAGCGUAGAUGGGUUGUUAAGUCAGUUGUGAAAGUUUGCGGCUCAACCGUAAAAUUGCAAUUGAUACUGGCAGUCUUGCGUACAGUUGAGUUAGGCGGAAUUCGUGGUGUAGCUGUUACAUGCUUAGCUAUCACG